rnacentral:lncRNA from 1 species
UUUAAAUACAUGAUAAUAUACUAGAAUGUUUGAUUGAUUCAGUUGUGCUUCCUUGAUAUAUAUAUUGCUUGUCUUGCGUGAUUUAUGGUUGAUUUGUGAAAUUGAAAAUUAAUAUGCAAACGAAAAAUUAAUUGGUCACGUGAAUUAAUGAAUGGUAACCGUAUUGGAUAUCUUGUGAGAUUGUGGACGGACCGGGUACAUAGAGAACCCUAUCGUGAACAUUGUUUCAUAUCGGACGGGGUAUCGAAGAAUAAUAUUUUUGGUGCUCAUACCAAACGGGAUAUGGGG